rnacentral:lncRNA from 1 species
ACAUUGUGGGGGCCCACUCCAUGUGAUGUUUGCUUGGUUGCCUGUUCCCUUUUCUACCUGCAGAGCACGGUUCCCAUAAGGGCGGCGAGAUCAGCCUCCUGUCUCAUCUGGAAGACCACCACUCUGGGGUCUCAGAGGAAUGAUGGAAGCCUUGGGGUUUCUAAAAUUGGAAGUGAAUGGCCCCAUGGUGACGGUGGCCCUGUCAGUGGCUCUCUUGGCCCUCCUGAAAUGGUACUCCACAUCAGCAUUCUCAAGACUGGAGAAGUUAGGCCUCAGACAUCCCAAGCCUUCUCCUUUCAUUGGAAACUUGACAUUUUUCCGCCAGGGUUUUUGGGAAAGCCAAAUGGAGCUCAGAAAGCUGUAUGGACCUCUGUGUGGGUAGGUGUGGCCAGCUGAUUACUUAUUCCCAGGGAGCUGGAGCAGCAGGAAGGAAUGGCCUGGAAACUGGAAAUAAUCCCAUUUGCCGGGGUACUAUCUUGGUCGUCGGAUGUUUAUUGUUAUUUCUGAGCCAGACAUGAUCAAGCAGGUGUUGGUUGAGAACUUCAGUAACUUUACCAACAGAAUGCCCCAGAGCAUCAUGCCCAACUCCAGACAUCACGUGGCCUCUAGAGGGAUGUGGCCUGGAGGGAGGCGGCUGGCCUGCUACCUCCAUCCCUUCAGGAUGGCCGAAGGAAUUGCAGAAGUUUAACUGCUUCUCUGCUGCCUCUAGAUUCUCUUUCCCAAACACUGCAUUGCUAUCUCCUCGCUCAAAGUCCCCUGGAAGCCGUCUGUCAAGAAACUGAUUCUGAUUAUUAAAUGCAGCUGUAGCUUGUUGCUCCAUCAGCCUCAGCAAGGAGUGCUGAUUAAAGAAGUUGGAGAAGCCAAUAAGUCAAAGUGCACGGACCACCAAGCCACAUCCUGGCAAGCAGUAAAGGUACUCCCAGGAGCCUGUCAUAGCACUUGAGACUGUCUGAGCCCCUAAGCCAUGAGACGGCACUUGCCAACUGGUGUCUCCAUAUUUCCUCCCAUGAUACCAGGACAUGUGACCCUGAG